UACAUAGGGUCCGAGCGUUGUCCGGAAUUACUGGGCGUAAAGCGCGUGUAGGCGGCCCUGCAAGUCGGGUGUGAAAUCCCACGGCUCAACCGUGGAAGUGCACUCGAAACUGCAGGGCUAGAGUCCUGGAGAGGAAGGUGGAAUGCUUGGUGUAGAGGUGAAAUUCGUAGAUAUCAAGCGGAACACCGGUGGCGAAGGCGGCCUUCUGGACAGUGACUGACGCUGAGACGCGAAAGCGUGGGGAGCAAACAGG
rnacentral:rRNA from 1 species